AGGAUGAACGCUGGCGGCGUGCUUAACACAUGCAAGUCGAACGAUGAAGGCUGGAGCUUGCUCUGGCUGGAUUAGUGGCGAACGGGUGAGUAACACGUGAGUAACCUGCCCCAGACUCUGGGAUAAGCGCUGGAAACGGCGUCUAAUACCGGAUACGAGCUUCCACCGCAUGGUGAGGAGCUGGAAAGAAUUUCGGUCUGGGAUGGACUCGCGGCCUAUCAGCUUGUUGGUGAGGUAAUGGCUCACCAAGGCGACGACGGGUAGCCGGCCUGAGAGGGUGACCGGCCACACUGGGACUGAGACACGGCCCAGACUCCUACGGGAGCAGCAGUGGGGAAUAUUGCACAAUGGGCGCAAGCCUGAUGCAGCAACGCCGCGUGAGGGACGAAGGCC
rnacentral:rRNA from 1 species